rnacentral:tmRNA from 1 species
GGGGCUGAUUUGGUUUCGACAUUUAAAACUUCUUUCUAUGUGUCAGGUCAAAGUUUGUAUUCUUUGUAAAAAAAUACUAAAAUACUAAUAAAUGCUAAUAAUAUAAUACCGUUUAUUUUUAAAGCAGUAAAAACAAAAAAAGAAGCAAUGGCUUUAAAUUUUGCUGUAUAGUUCAUUAACUUAGGUUAUUAAAUAUUUUUUCAUUAUAACUGGACUUUUCUCUAGUUUAUAGUUUAGAAUAAAUUUAAAUUUUGCAAAACUCGUUCGAAAAUUUUCGGGCUAAACCUGUAAACGCAAAUACUAAGAAAUUUUAGAUGGACAUGGGUUCAAUUCCCAUCAGUUCCAAUC